UCCUUAAGCUUUUCUUGGCUUUAGAUAUUCAAAUUCAAAUUGCUAUUUAAAAAAUUUUUACUACUUUUCUACUCUGAAAUUGACUUAAUAAACUACAUCUUUUUGGAUUUUGUAAGAGUCUUAUAGUACAGAAGUAGUUAAUUAAAAUUUUAAAUUUAUGACCAAAUGUAAUAAGGAAUAUUUGAAGGUCCACUCCAGUCCAGGCCUCGCUUUGUUCCCAUCCUGAAUGCUGCACGAAUUGAGUAAAACCUAUCAUGCAGGAAACUAGACUUACUGUGGAUUUGUUUCCUCUAGUGAAAUGUUAUAUUUGAGUGUCAAUGCCCAUAAUUUCAAUUUUCUGUGGUGCCUUGCCUCCAUAGUUCCCAUUUCCUCCCCAGCCCUGCUCCCAGCAACCACGCCCCCAAUCUAGCACCAGCCCUUCCCCUGCCCUGUGUCCAGCCCUGCCCCUGCCCUGUCUCCAGCCCUGCCCCAGCCCUAGCUCCAGCUGCCCAGCCCUAUCGCCAGCCCUAUCCCUAGCCCCAGCCCGAGUCCCAGCCCCAACCCCAGCUCCAGCCCCAGCCCCAGCCCCAGCCCCAGCCCCAGCCCCAGCCCCAGCCCCAGCCAUUACCCUAACCUUGCUUCUCCCUAAAGUCACUCCAAUCUGCAUUGAUUUGGUGCUAAAAGUUGUCCAUUGCUCAUCCCUAAGACUGGAAUAACCCUGUGUGCCUCUAGCAUUGCUGACUUUCCGAAUUGACUACCUGAGUUAUCAUUUUCAAUUAAUGUACACAAUCCCAUUUGUCCACUGUCCCACGUUAGAACAAUCAAUCUAUUCACCUUUGUGUCAAUGUUAGAAAUGUUAGUUAAUUGAGUUUCAUAUCAGAUAACUAUUGUUCAUAAUUUUAGUUACUCAUCAUCUCUAUUACCUGCCCUUAAGGAAGGAGAAACCAUUCUUUUGUCAUUGCUGCAGUAGUCACAGUCCCAGUUUUCUGGGCAGUGCUCAUAAUAUUGUGCUGGUCACCUGAACUCUACCCUGAGUGAAAUUUUAAUUGUCCUGCCCAUUGGAUUAGAUCCUAGUCCUUUUGCUGAAUUCAGGACUGGGUGCAGAAAACACGAAUCUUUUGUUCAAUAGUUAACAUGCUCAGUCCCAAAUUGUAUUAGCCUUGUCCAUUAAACAAAGGCACCCUACCAUUUCUGUCCUGCUUCUGGGAUGGCCUGCUGUUCUUUGACAAUUAAAGUACCAAACUGUAAUUGUACGUUGUCUUGCCCAGUAAUCAAUGACCCUUCAUCCCCUUUGCAUUGCCACUAGGCAGUGCUGACUACCUGGGACCAUGUUCCUUGAAUGAUUGAUGAGUAUAAUCCCAAUUGUCCACACCCCUGUUCAUUACACAAGUCCUUUGCAACUCCUUUGUACUAUAGCAGAUGGGCUCAUCUUCAAAGUCCUUUACUUUGGGGUAUUAAUGAAUACAAUCAUUAAUAUUCAAGAUCCUGCCUAAAAGGUAAGACCCACCCAUGCUCUUCUCUUUACUCCUAGGUAGUGCAGACUACUUACUACCCUGCAUUAAUAUGUAAAAUCCUCAUUGCCCACUGUCCCAACAGUUAGUCUAGGAUAUAACUUUAUCUUUAUGCCAUUGCUUAUGAGGGGUUCUGAUUACCCAAGGUCACUUAAACAGUUGAUGUGCAUAAUUGCAUAUGUCCAUGGUGCUGCGCAAUAAAAAAUGGAAUCCCACCCCGUCCUAACCACUUUGGGAUAUUGCUAAGGAGUGCAGAUUAUUCAGGAACUCAGUUGUUGGACAGUUAAUUUGCACAGUUGGAGUUGUGCAGAGUCCUAUACAUUUGAAAGAGCCACUGUAUUCCAUUUGCAUACUAUAAUGUGGGCUGAUCACUCAAAGACACUUCUCUUGAAUUGAUAAUUUUCAUAAUUGCAUUGGCACAUGUUCUGUGAACUAGCCACACCCACUCCCUUUGUAUUCUAGCAGGGGACCCUUACUACUCAAGAACAAUACACUAGGACAUUUUAUGUGUACAAUAUUAAUUGGCUAGACUGAGCCUUUUGUAUCAGGAACCCUGCACCAUCUCUAUAUCUAAAAAGUGCUAAUUAUCUAAGGCUCUUCUCCUAAAAUUGUUCAUGUGCAAAAUUGCAAUCCCCAAUGUCUCCUACUGUUAACCUAAAAUCCCAUUUCUACCUAACUCCCUUUGCAUUAUUGCAGAGGGUACGUGGGUCCUUUAAGUUGCUUAAGGCAGUUAUGGUCCCUUCUGUUAGUCUGGGAUCCCACCCCCUCCUACUUCCUUUGCAUUACUGCAGAGAAUACUUGGAGAAUACUUGGAAAUGUGCUUAACUGCAGCGAUAAUUCCUUCCAUUAGUCUAGGAUCCUAUACCCUCCUACUCAUUUUGCAUUAGCACAGAUUGUACAUGGGACUGUUAAUGUGUUCACAUGCAGCUCUGUCCCUUAUGUUAGUGUAUGAUUCUAUCCUCUUUAACUCCCUAUGCAUUACAGCAGAGGGUAGUUGGGAUCUUUAAGGCCCUCAAAGGCAGCUAUGGUGCCUUCUGUUAGUCUAAGAUCCCACCCCCUCCUACUUCCUUUGCAUUUCUGCAGAGGAUAUUUGGGACUACAAUGUGCUUAAUUGCUGCCAGAGUCCUCUCUGUUUGUCUAGGAUCCCAAUCUCCUCCCUCUUACUGAGUUUGCAUUACACAGAGUACAAGGGACUGUUAAUGUGCCUAAGUGGCAGCUAUGGUCUCUUCUAUUAACCUAGGUUCCCAUCCCAAUCUAAAUUCUUUUGCAUUACUGCAGAGGGUACUUGGGACUGUUAAUGUGUGUAAUUGUAGUUACAGUCCCUUCUGUUAGAUCCUGUCCUCACCUACUCUCUUUGCAUUAUCAUGAAGGUUACAAUGGGACUGUUAAUGAGCUUAAUUGCAGCUAUAGUUCCUUCUGUUAAUCUAGUUUCCCACUUAUUCCUGCUUUGCAUUAUAGCAAAGGGUACUUGAGACCUUUAAGGUGCUUACAAGUAGCUAUGAAUGACCCCUUCUGUUUAUGUUCCCAUCCCCUCCUACUUUGCAUUACUGCAGAGGAUACUUGGGACUCUAAAUGUGCCCAAUUACCACUUUCCCUUUUCUUUUUCUUUGUCCCAUCCCCUCCCACAGUUUGUAUUAUCAUAGAAGGUACAAGGGACCAUUAAUGUGCUUAGAGGCAGCUAUGGUUUCUCCUGUUAACCUGGGAUCCUGUCCCCACCUAACUUCCUUUUGCAUUAUUGCAAAGGGUACUUUGGACUAUUAAUGUGCUCUAAGGAAGCUGUGUGGUUCCUUAUAUUACUGUAGGAUUCCAUUGUCUCCAACUCCCUAUGCAUUACAGCACAGGUACUUGGACCCUUUAAGAUGCUUAAAUGCAGCUAUAGCCUCUUCUGUUAGUUUUAUGUUCCCAUCCCCUCCUAUUUCCUUUGCAUUACUGCAGCAGCUACUUGGGACUGUUAAUGUGCUUCAUUACAGCUACAAUCUCUUCUAUUAGUCUAGGGUCUCAUCCCUUCUAGUUGCUUUGCAUUAGCACACAAUGUACAUGGGACUGUUAAUUUGCUUAAAUGCAGCUCUGUCCCUUAUGUUAAUGUAGCAUUCCACCCAACUCCCUAUGCAUUAGAACAGAGGGUAGUACUUGGCACCUUUAAGGUGCUUAAUGUAGCUGUGGUGCCCCCUGUUAGUCUAGGAUCCCAUCCCCCUUCUACUCCCUUUACAUUAAUGGCAGGGCAUUUGGGACUGUUAAUGUGCUUAAUUGCAGUUACAAUCCCUUCUAUUAAUCUAGUUAUCCUGUGCCUUCUCACUUCCUCUGCAUUAGAGCAGAUGGAGGAUUUGGGACUGUUAAUGAGCUUAAUGCAGCUAUAGUCCCUUCUGUUAAUCUAGUUUCCCAUGUACUCCUACUUCCUUUGCAUUACAGCAGAGGGUACUUCAGACCUUUAAGGUGCUUAAUUGCAGUCAUGGUCCUGUCUGUUAGUUUAGGAUCUCAUAUCUCUCAACGCCCUUUGUAUUCUCUUUGGGACUGUUAAAGUGCUUAGUUGCAGCUGUGGUCCCUUUUCUUAGUCUAGGGUCCUAUCCCUUGCUACUCACUGCAUUACCUGGGAGUGGAUUUGGGACUAGUAAUGUGCUCAUUUGCACUUGUGGUCCCUUUGGUUAGUCUGGGGUCCCAUGUCCUCCAACUCCUUCUGCAUACAGCGGAGGCUACUUGGGACUCUUAACAUGUUUAAUUUUAGCUGUGGUCCCUUUCAGUACUCUAGGAUUCCAUACCCUUCUAUUCACUUUGCAUUAGCACACAGUGUAUAUGGGACUGUUAAUGUGCUUAAAGGUAGUUCUGUCCCUUAUGUUAAUGUAGGAUUCCAUCCUUUCCAACUCUGUAUGCAUUAGAGCAGAGGGUACUUGGCACCUUUAAGAUGCUUAUACAUAGCUGUGGUCCCCCCAGUUAGUCUAGGAUCCCAUCCCCCUUCUACUCCCUUUACAUUACAUGGCAGGGCAUUUGGGACUGUUACUGUGCAUAAUUGCACUUACAAUCCCUUCUGUUAGUCUAAGAUCCUAUGCUUUCCCAUUUCCUUUGCAUUAGAGCAGAUGGUAUUUGGGACUGUUAAUCAGUUUAAUUGCAGCUAUAGUCUCUUCUGUUAAUCCCAUGCACUCCUACUUCUUUUGUGUUAUAGCAGAGAAUACUUGAGACCUUUAAGGUGCUUAAGAGCAAGUAUGGCCCCUUCUGUUAGUUUAUGUUCCCAUCUCCUCCUGCUUCCUUUGCAUUACUGUUGAGGCUACCUGGUACUGUUAAUGUGCCUAACUGCCACUAUAGUCUCUUCUGUUUGUCUAGAUUCUCACCCUCUUCUGCAUGGAUUACAUUACCACAGAGGAUACAAGGGACUGUUAAGGUGCUUAAAUGCAGCUACCGUUUGUUCUGUUAACUCAGGUUCCCAUCCCCACCUAAUUCCCUUUGCAUUAUUGCAGAGGGUACUUGAGACACUAAUGAACUUACUGUAGCAUUGGUCCCUUCUGUUAGACUGGGAACCCACCCUCACAAACUCCUUUUACAUUUUAAUGGAGAAUACACGGGACUGUUAAUGUGCUUAAAUGCAUCCACAGACCCUUAUGUUAAUGUAGGAUUCCAUCCUUGCCAAACCCUCUAUGCACUACAGCAGAGAGUAGUUUCUACCUUCAAGGUGCUUAAAUGUGGCUAUGGCCCCUUCUGUUAGUUUAUGUUCCUGUCCUCUCCUACUUGCUUUGCAUUACUGCAGAGGAUACUUGGGAUGUUAGUGUGCCUAAUUGCUGCUACAAUCCCUUCUGUUAAUCUAGGAUCCUGUCCCAUUCCACACUGUUUGCAUUACCACAGAGGGUAUAAGGGAUUGUUAAUGUGCUUAAAUGCAACUAAGAUUUUUCCUGUUAAUCUAGGACCCGAUCCCCACCUAACUCUGCAUUAUUGCAGAGGCUACUUGGGACUGUUAAUGUGCUCUAAUGCAGCUGUGGUCCCUUUUGUUAGAUGAGGAUCCUAUCCCUACCUGCUCCCUUUGCAUUAUCAUGGAGGGUACGUGGGACUGUUAAUGUGCUUAAAUGAAGCCAUGGUCCCUUAAGUUAGUGUAGGAUUUCAUCCUCUCCAACUCCCUGUGCAUUACAACAGAAGGUACUUGAGACUUUUAAGGUGCUUUUAAGCUAUGGUGCUUUCUGUUAGUCUGGGAUCCCAUUGCUACCUAACUCCCUUUCAAUUACUGCAGAAGGUACUGGAAAUCUUUAAGAUGCUUAAAUGCAGUUACAACCCCUCUGUUAGUUUGCGUUCCCAGCCCCUCCUACUUACACUUUGCAUUAUUGCAGAGGAUACUUGGGACUGUUAAUGUGCCUAAUUGCCACUACAGUCCCAUCUGUUUGUCUAUAAUCCUAGCCCCUCCUAAACGUUUGCAUUUCUACAGGAGGCACAAGGGACAAUUAAGUGCUUAAAUGCAGCUAUGGUGUCUUCUGUUAGUCUAGGAUCCUAUCCUCUACCUACUUACAGAAGGUACAAGGUACUGAUAAUGUGCAUAAGUGCUGCUAUAAUCCCUUCUGUUUGUCUAGGAUCCUGUCCCCUCCUACAGGGUUUGCAAUACCACAAAAAGUACAAGGGGACUGUUUAUGCUUAAAGGCAGCUCUUCUUUUACCUAGGAUUCCAUCCCCACCUAAUGCAUUUGCAUAAUUGCAGAGGGGACUUGGGACUGUUAAUGUGCUUAAAUGCAGCUGUGAUCCCUUAUGUUAAUGUAGGAUUCUAUCCUCUCCAACUCCCUAUGCUUAAUAGCAGAUGGGACCUUCAAGGUGCUUAAGUAUACUUACAGUGCCUUCUGUUAGUCUGGGAUCCCAUCCCCACCUAACUCCCUUUGCAUUACAGCAGAGAGUACUUGAGAUCUUUAAGAUGCUUAAAUGCAGCUAUGCCCCCUUAUGUUAGUUUAUGUUCCCAUCCCUUCCUACUUUGUAUUACUACAGAGUACACUUGGGACUGUAAAUGUGCCCAAUUACUGCUAUAGUCCCUUCUGUUUGUCUAGGAUCCCAUCCCCUCCUACAGAGUUUACAUUAUCACAGAGUGUACAAGGGAUUGUUAAUGUGCUUAAUUGUAGUUAUAGUCCCUUCUGUUAGACUAGGAUUCCAUCUCCACCUACUCCAUUGCAUUAUCAUGGAGGGUACAUGGUACUGUUAGUGUGCUUGAAUGCAGCUACAGCCCAUAUGUUAGCAUAGGGAUUUCAUCCUCUCCAACUUCCUAUGCAUUAUAACAGGGCAUUUGGGACCUUAAAGGUGCUAAAAUGCAGCUAUGGCCCCUUUUAUUAGUUUAUGUUCCCAUUCUCUCCUACUUCCUUUGCACUACUGCAAAGGAUACUUGGGACUCUUAAUGUAGGUAAUCGGUACUACAAUCCCUUCUGUUAAUCUAAGAUCCCAUUCCCUCCUACUUGCUUUGCAUUACCACAGAGGGUACAAGGGACUGUAAAUAUGCUUCAAUGCAGCUCCUGUCCCUUAUAUUAGUGUGGUAUUCCAUCCUCUCCAAUUCCCUAUGCAUUACAGCAGAGGAUAGUUGGUAUCUUUAAGGUCCUUAAAGGCAGCUAUGGUGCCUUUAGUGUAGGAUGUAGGAUCCUAUCCCCUCCUACUGACUUUGCAUUACUGCAGAGGAUACUUGGGAUUGUUAAUGUGCUUCAUUGCCACCAGAGUCCCUUUAAUUUGUCUAGGAUCCCAUCCCCUUCUAUUUGCUUUGCAUUAGCACACAAUGUACAUGGGACUGUUAAUUUGCUUAAAUGCAGCUCUGUCCCUUAUGUUAAUGUAGCAUUCCACCCAACUCCCUAUGCAUUAGAACAGAGGGUACUUGGCACCUUUAAGGUGCUUAAUGUAGCUGUGGUGCCCCCUGUUAGUCUAGGAUCCCAUCCCCCUUCUACUCCCUUUACAUUAAUGGCAGGGCAUUUGGGACUGUUAAUGUGCUUAAUUGCAGUUACAAUCCCUUCUAUUAAUCUAGUUAUCCUGUGCCUUCUCACUUCCUCUGCAUUAGAGCAGAUGGAGGAUUUGGGACUGUUAAUGAGCUUAAUGCAGCUAUAGUCCCUUCUGUUAAUCUAGUUUCCCAUGUACUCCUACUUCCUUUGCAUUACAGCAGAGGGUACUUCAGACCUUUAAGGUGCUUAAUUGCAGUCAUGGUCCUGUCUGUUAGUUUAGGAUCUCAUAUCUCUCAACGCCCUUUGUAUUCUCUUUGGGACUGUUAAAGUGCUUAGUUGCAGCUGUGGUCCCUUUUCUUAGUCUAGGGUCCUAUCCCUUGCUACUCACUGCAUUACCUGGGAGUGGAUUUGGGACUAGUAAUGUGCUCAUUUGCACUUGUGGUCCCUUUGGUUAGUCUGGGGUCCCAUGUCCUCCAACUCCUUCUGCAUACAGCGGAGGCUACUUGGGACUCUUAACAUGUUUAAUUUUAGCUGUGGUCCCAGUAGUUUAGGAUCCUUUGUAUUACCUUUGUAUUAUCAGAUGGUAUUUGGGACUAAAAAAUGCUUAAUUGCAUCUCUGGUCCCUUCUGUUAUAGGAUCCCAAUGUUGUCCAACUCCCUGUGCAUUACAGCAGAGGUCAUUGGGGCUGUUAGUGGAUUUAACUGUAGCUGUGGUCCCUUCUGUUAGUCUAGUAUCCCAAGCCCUCCAACUGCCUUUGUGUUACCUGGGAGUGUAUCUGGGACUCUAAGUUGCUUAACUGCAGCUGUUGUCUCUUCUGUUAGUAGUUUCCCAUGCCCUCCUAUUAUCUUUGCAUUAUAACAGAGGGUCCUUGGGAUUGUUAAAGUGCUUAAUUGUUGCUGUGGUCCCUUCUGUAAUUCCGCGGUCCCAUCCCCUCCUACUCUGUUUACCUGAGAGGAUUUUUGGGACUGUUAAAAGAGACCACGUAAUUAAAUUAGUAUAGUUUCCCAUGCCCUCCUAUUCUCUUUGCAUUACAACAGAUGGUACUUGGGAUUGUUAAAGUGCUUAACUGCAGGUGGGGUCCCCUCUGUUAGUCUAGGAUCUCUUGCCCUUCCCCCUUUACAUUACCGGGAACAGAUUUGGGAAUGUUAACAUGCUUAUUAAUUACAGUUGUUGUCCCUUCUGUUAAUCUAGUUUCCAGUCCCUUCCAACUCGUUUUCCAUUACCUAGUAACAGAUUUGGGACAAUUAAUAUGCUCAUGUGCAGCUGUGGUCCCUUCUGUUAGUCUAGCAUUCCAUGCCCUCUAACUCCCUUUCCAUUAUAGCAGAGGAUAUUUGGGACUUUUAAUGGCUUAAUUGCAGCCCUGGUCCCUUCUAUUAGUCUAGGAUCCCAUGUUCUCCAACUAACUUUGCAUUACUUGAGAAGGUAUUUGGGACUGUUUAAAUGCUCUAUUGGAGCUGUGGUCCCUUUUGUGUGUCUAGUUUCCCAUGCCCUCCUACCCUUUUGCAUUAUAGCAGUGGAUACUUGGGGCUGUUAAAGUACUUAAUUCCUGGUGUAGUCACUUUUGUUGAUUUAGGAUCCCAUCCCCUUCUACUCCCUUUACAUUAUCUGGGAGGAUUUGGGGGACUGUUAAAGUACUUAUUUGCAGCUGUGGGUCCCCUUUGUUAGUCUAGGAUCCGACGUCCUCCAACUCCCGUUGCAUUAUAGCAGAUAGUGCUUGGGACUGUAAAUGUGCAUUACAUACAGGUGUGGUCCAUUUUCCUGGUCAUGACCACCUCUUCCCUUUAUAUUACCUGGGAUCAGAUUUGGUACUGAAAGGUGCUUAAUUGCAGCCUGUGUUCCCUUCUGAUUAGGAUCCCACACCUCCAUCUCUAUUUGCAUUACAGCAGGGCGUACUUGGGCCUGUCAGAUGCUCUAUUGCAGCUGUGGUACCUUCUGUUUUGUAGGAUCCCAUGCCCACCAUCUCCUUUUUACAUUAUCUGGGAGUGUAUUUGGAACUUAUAAAGUACUUAAUUUUAGCUGUGGUUCCUUCUGUUCAUAUACUUUUCCAUGCCCUCCUACUGUCUUUGCAUUAUAGCAGAGGGUACUUGGAACUGUUAAAGUGCUUCAUUGCAGCUGUGUCACUUUUGUAGUUUAGGAUCCCAUGACUUCCCAGCCCCUUUACAUUACCUAGAAAGGCAUCUGGGACUGUUAAGGUGCUAACUGCAGCUGUGGUCCCUUCUGUUGGUCUAGGAUCCCAUUCUCUUCUACUCCCUUUGCAAUACUUGGGAAGGUUUUUUGGGACCAUUAAAGGGCGCUAUUGCAGGUGUGGUCCUUCCUCCUAGUCUGAGAUCCAUGCCCUUUAAACUUUGGGUUACUGCUGAGGGUACUUGGUACUAUGAAUGUGCUCAAAUGCAGAUUUGGUCCCUUUUCUUAGUCUCAGAUCUCAUGCCUUCCAACUCCUUGUACAUUAUCAGAGAGGGUGCUUGGGACAGUUUUUAUGCUCAGUUACAACAGUGGUCCCUUUUUUAGUCUAUGAUUUCAUCCCUUGCCCUUUGCCCCGCAACUCCCUUUGCAUUACCACAGAAGGUACUUGAGACUGUUCAGGUGUAUCUCAUUCUCUGACCCCCUGGUAGCAUUAUAGUAAGGGGUGCUGAAUACCAAGACCCCCUUUUUUUUGCAUUGUUAAUGUGCAUAAUUGCAUUUGUUCAUCUUUCUCUGCAGUAGGUAAGAUUUCACUAACUUCCUUUGUAUUCAGCAGUGAAUGCCCUUUAUUCAAGACCUUUGUACUACAAUAAAGUGAACCAUGGUAAUUGACCACACUGUCAUUCAUUUAAGUCCCCUGUACUCUCUGUAUUAAUUACUUUAGUUAUUUUUUGGGGGGGAUUAUUUGUAGCAAAAUUCCAAUGUUUAUGGUCCUUCACUUUUAACUAAUUUCCCAUCCUUUUUGUAUUGCAUCAGGGGAUGUUAGUAUCUCAAAGUACUUCUCUUAGGACUCUAAAUGUGCAUAUACCCUCUUGAUAAGCUAAUAUCUUUAUUUCUUAGUAUUAUAGCAGGGGGUACUAACCACCUAAGGUCCUUCUUUUGGACAGUUAAUGUGCCAGAUUGCACAUCCCCAAAUUGGGGAUCCCAUCCCCAUCACACCUUCUCUGUGUCAGGCGUGCUGACCAACUAUAACUGCUUCUCCUUUAUAGUUUAAAUGUGCAUAAUUACAGUAACCAAUGGUCCCGUAUGUUAGAAUGGGAUCUCAUUUCCUUGCCCAAUUUACAUUACUGUGGGGGCUUCUGACUAGCCAAGAGUCACUCUCUUGGACUGUUAAUGUGCAUACUUAAAUUCACUCUUACACCUAGAUAAGGACUCUCCCCAUACUAUUUAUAUUCCAGCAAGAGGUGCCUACUACUUAAGAUUUUACACACUAAUGCAGUUAAUGUGCACAGCCUUUGUUGUCUUGUGCAUACUCAGUUGUCCACAACUGUACCUUUUAGUUCAAGACUCCUGCAAUUACUGAAGCAGAAGUGACUGACCACCUUAAAGCCUUUCUUUUGGGACUCUGGAUGUGUGUAGUAUUGGUUGUCCACUGUCCUUUGAGUUAACUUGGGUCCCUGAGUCUUUUCACAGCCUCUAAGCUUUACCGCAUGGGGUACUGUCCAUUUAAGGCCCCUUUCUCAAACUGUUAAUGUGCACAAUGACAAUUACAUUAGGAUUCUUCCCCUUUACACUCCCUUUGAAGUACUGCAGGGAAUUCUGACCCAUAAGGUUCUGUUUCAUGGCCUGUUAAGAUGCAUGUUAUAUUUAUCUGGGUUCUUAUGUGCUAGAGAAGAAAACCUCUCUCCACUCCCUGUAUCUUCAAGCAGGGAGUGCCCACUGUACAAGACCGUGCCCUGUACAAGACUGUUACACUUGAGCAGUCAAGGAAGACAAUUAUAAUUGACCACAGCCAUGCACCAUGGACAUUAAUGUGCAUAAUUGCACAGGCUCAUCCUGUUUGAAUAAGAUACUACCUUCUGAGACCCCAGAAGGGGUACUGAUCACUAAGGCCUUUUUUUCAUGCCUUGUGAUUAUGCAUAAUUGCAUUUGUACAUUUUUAUGUACACCAAAUAAGGACACCCCUCUCCCCACUCCCUUUAUCUUUAGCAAGGAGUGCCUAUUAUUUUAAGAUCCUUGUAUCUGUACAAGAUACAUGGUUUUAGUUGAUCAUACCAUAUCUGUUGGACAUUAAUGUACAUAAUUGCAACUUAGUUCAUCCUACUCUGUUGUAUGUCAUUUGCUGUAUGCCAGGGUUGCUGAUCCCUAACUUAUCCUGUUAAUGUGCAUAAUUGCAUUAGUCUGGGUUCUUGUGCACUAGAUGAGGACAUCCUCCACCCCUACUUCUAUGCCUUCCAGUAGGUGGUGCCCACUGCUGUGACAUUUACAUUUGGAUGGUUAAUGUACAGAAUUGUAGUUUCCACAACCCUAUCACUUUCAAAACUCUCGUACCUGCUUUGCACUGCUGCAGGGGAUACUGUUUUCUCCCCAAGUUCCUUCUAGUAAACCAUUAAUAUUCAUAAUUGAAAUAGUUAUACACCCUCAGCUUCCCUUUGCAGUACAGCAGUGUGUACUGAUCAACCAAGGCCCUCUUUUGGAGUGGUAAUAUGUGCAAUUGCAUUUUUUCCUAUUUUGUGCGCUAAGGAUCCUGCCUACUUCCUUACCAGGUUCAGCAGGUAGUGUCCACUACUUAAGACUCUUUCACUUGAAAAGUUCAUGUGUAUAAAUGCAGUUUGCUAAGUGUGUCUUAUACUAGAACCCCUCUUUGCUUUGCAGUAAGGAGAUGUUACUUACCUAAUGCCCUUUCUUUUAGACUCUAAUGUGCAUAAUUGCAAUUGUCCAUCUUUUCUGUUGGACUAGGGUUGCAUUCCCUCAAACCCCCUUUGUAUCAGGGGUGUGUUAACCAUAAAUGAGCUCUUCUCUUGAGAUUAUAAUUGUACAGACUUGUAUGUGUCUGUGGAUUUGUGCAGUGCGAAAGGAUGCCCUAUGCAUUUACCACUAUCUUUGGAUUGCUGUUGAGGAGUGCUAUCAUGACCUCAGCUCUUGGACAAUUAAUGUGCACCACUAGCAAUGAUGGGACCUCUGUACCCGCUUUGUAUACAUCAGGGGUACUAAGGCCCCUUUCUUGGACUGUCAAUGUGCAAUUGUCUAUGUUCCCUUCUGUUAGAUUUAGGAUAACAUUCCCUUAAGCCCCCUUUGCAUUAAUGCAGGGGUUGCUGACCACACAAAACUCUUAGUUUAGAGUUAUUAAACUAUUAGUGGGCACAAUGGCAAUUAGCAAUGGGUUUUUCCUCCCUGGCCUUGUUAGGCAAACACUCCCAGCCCCAAUUUCCCCUGGCAUAAUAAAGUAUAAACAUGGCAGUAUGCUGUGAACUUGUCCAUCAAAUAGUACCCCAUACUCCCUCUUCUUUUGUAUUGCUUCUUUGUAUAAAAUUCCAAGUAGUCAUGAUCUUCCCCUUCCUUCCCUCUUCCCACCCCUUGCUCACCCUUGGACCCAUCCAAGGUGCAUAAGCACCAUUCUCACAAUUUCAGGUUUUCAUGUAUUGGGCCACUAAAUAAGAUUGUGUUCCUUUUUCCCUCCCAAUGCCACCCUGCCCCUUUUGCAUUAUUGCUGGGGAAUGUUGACUGGGCAAGGCCCUUUCUCUUGGAUUUAAAACAUUAACAAUCCCAGAUGUCAUUGCAUUACUCACUUUGUAUUGCUGUAAUGCCUCAGUUGCACUAUCCUUGGUCCCUCCCAUCAGACAUGGACCCCUCCACUUCUUUGCAUUGCUUCUGAGUAAUGCUGAGUACCCAAAGUCUCUUCUGUGUUAUUAACACAGUACUGAUUGUCCCAUUUUUUUCAGGUCAUCAGCCCAAGAUUUUCCUACCAUUUUGAUGUGUUUGUGCAGUGUUGACUACCCCAAGCAGGCCUGAAUUAGAUGGAUGGACCUUCACUCCUUUGUCUGCAUUUGUUAAUAAUCCCAAUUCCAGUUGUUACAUUCUGGGAUAGGAACCAUCCCUGACCAUUUCUGUUACUGUUUUACUGAGCAAAAUGCUCAAGGCAAGUCAGGCCUAGAAAGCUGGAUUGCCACCUUUUAUUUUAGAUUUCCAGUAUAAGUAUCAGUUGAAAAUUGUCUCCCCAGGAAGAAAGAUUAGCAUUGUCUGUGUAUUCUUCCUUCCAGAGCAGAUUGCCUGGCCAAGAAUUUCGCUUCUCCUCUUGUAUAUUGCUAUUGUACUGUGCCUGUUGCCAGCGUACAAUUAAAAAAAAAAUACUGUUUGCAAGGUGGAAUUGUAAACCUGGUCAUUGAAUUUUGAGGUCCAAAAACCCAUUUAUACCAUGUACCUGAUGACCAGUGUCUCUCAUUUUACUAAGGGUGCUGGGUCUGUGGAUAGACCACUGUGACUCUAGCUAUUUUGGUAUUCCCAAAAGACUUCUAGAGUGGAACUCUUAAGAGCAAUAUCUUUGGGCUCUACCACCAUUUUAAAACCCAUUAUUUAUUUGGGCUUUACCAUUGUUCACUUUUAGAAAAACUACCUAAACAUUCUAAUCCUUAAAUUUCUUCAUCUGAAGCAUCUACCACCCCUUACUUAUUUCAAGAAGAUUGCUGUAAAAGAAUGAAAUGAGAGAACAUACGCUGAGGCACUUUUGAAAACCGUAAUUCAUCUUACUUGAUUAAUCUAUUACAUAAAUAAAAUGCACACUAUUUAAAUCUGCUAAUUUAAACUAGCCUGAAGCACUACACUGAAGUGAGGGAUUAAAAAUGAUGGGUCCAGUUUCCCUGUUUUAUAUUGAAAAAUAAGCCAAGAUCUAAUCAUUCUUCUGGACAUGAAUUUCAACAGCUGCUUGGUAAAAAGAAUAAUAUCCUAGUCUCUAGUGUGCAGGGUGUGGCAGAUAAGUGUUUAAUAUGGAACUCCUGAAGCAAAUAACUAGUCGUCACAACAGCAGUUCUUUGUAAUCACUGAAAAAGGAUACUAUUCCUCUGACAAGGAUGUCAAAAGAUCGGCCCAGCUCAGGGUGCAGUAUGCACUACUAGCUCCUUGGACAGCUGUAAGAAGAGUCUCUGGCUCUUUAGAAUACUGGAUCAAUUCUGAGCUGGUUCUAUACCCCCACUGAAGAGGAAGGAUGGAUCAAUUUUAAGUGGAUUGAAGCCUGCACUAGACAGCAUCCAAAGUUCCAAAAUGUAAUCACUUUCUCUGGCUUUAGCUCCCCUUUAAUGGAAAGGGAAUGCUUCUUGAACAUGUCAUCAGUGUAAUAACAAAACUAGAAGGCUUUGGUCUAAUGCAGCCAUACUCAGUAAAUAUGGUUCAGAGUGGAUCAGAAGAUCUGGAGAGAUUGGACUAGUCAUUUCUUUUUAGGUAUCUUAACUGGGGACGUUCCGAGCAUGUGAAACCUGAGGACUGCAAGUAGCUCUAAGCAGCUUCACAUUCAGCAGAUCUUUCCUUUUGAGAAUCUGGAUAAACUCCAAAUAACCUAAGAUGAUGGCUUGCAGGCCACCUGGAAAAAAAAAAGGUAAUCUUCCUCUGAAGAAUAGGCUUGUUGCUCUACAGUGUUAGUGACCCAUUCCCUUUGACGAUCCCUAGGUGGAGAUGGGGCAUGAGGAUCCUCCAGGGGAAAAGCUCACUAUCACUGGGCAACAACCCUAGGCUAGGAGGCUUUACCAAGAUUCUUUCCUGAGCCCAGGUAGGAAGAUGAAGUCUCACAACAACCGCCACACAUCAGAGGUGGCUCCUGAUUGUUCCCUUCUUAUCUGCCAAAUCAUUGUAUCCCCAAAGCAAUGCAGAGAGCAAGAAAUUUGAACACAUCAAAGGAAGAUCAACAUGCCUGGCAUGCUAACAUUUUAGAACAGCAGAAUGAAUGUGUAUUUCUUUGUCUAUUUUUUUUCUUGAAUCUCUUUGGUCUUCCUUCUCUGUCUAAAGUGUGUCUCAGCCAUUCCAUGAUUCUCUUGUUAGUUUCUUCUCUGUGUAUCUUUGUCUCAUUUUCUUGUUCCUAAGAGUUGUCUGUGCCUUGUCUUGGAUGUCUCUCUCCAGUUUUUUCAUUUUGUUAGUGAUUCUCUUUGUUCUCCUAGAUCUGGCUCUUCUUUCACUGUUCUUCCCUUUGUGUCUCUGUGUCACAUGAUGUGUGCUUUUUGUUCAUUUCUUGUUCUGCCUAUACCUCUCUUCUUGUUCUGUUGUGAACUCUGAUUUUUUGUCUUCCCUUACCCUUCUUGUUGGUUUCACAUUUCACCUUUUUCUCAUUCUGCCUUCCCUUCUGCUUUUUCUACUCAUUAUCUCAAAUUUCUGCCUCUCUUGGGCCAUUUUCUCUCUAUUUUGUCCUGCUUUGUCUCAGUGUCUCUUUUUCUCUCUCUCUUUUUUUUUCCUGCUCUGUCUCAGUGUCUCUUUUUCUCUGUUUUUUUUUUCCUGCUCUGUCUCAGUGUUUCCUUGCUCUUUGUGAUUUUUCCAUUUCAGCAUUCAUCUCUGUUCUCUUGUUUCUUCUCUGCUUUUCCCCUUCUACUCACCUUUGAGUAUUUCAGCCUCUUUGUGAGUCUGUGUUUCCCCCUCUUUGACUUUAUGCAGUCCUCUAUCCUUGCAUAUUUUUGUGCAUUUGUAUGAUCAUGUGUGUGUCUUUGUGACAAAGGGGCUUCCUAACCCCUUCCCAAUAGGUACAGUGUGUCAACUAUCAAAAUACACAUUGCAGAGCUGUUCAUUAUGCCAGGACACCCUGUGAAAUGACCCAAGACCUAUGAUGGACAGAAAGUGGAAGGCCCAUAAUGGAGAGAAGGCCCAAAGUAAAAGACAGAUGGUUUGAGACUUGAGACCUAAAGACAAAAAUGGAAAACCUGUCUCAAGAUAGUUGGAAACUUCAGGCUUGAGACCAUCCAAAGUCCUGACAGCCAUGAUGUAAAAAGGUGGUCCUUGUUGGAUAGAAGACCUGACUGAGUUGGAUGGAAAGUUCAAGACUUGAGUUAGAUAGAAGUCCAAAGACCCAGAGUAGGAGACUGAAGGCCUAAGAAUGGGGACCCAUCAAAAGCCUGGGACAUAAGACACCAUGUCUAAGACCUGAGAUAAAAACUUUAGCUUGAAGAUCUAAGAUCCAAGGAUGGAAGGCCCCAGACACACAUAAAGACCCAGGACUCCAGCCUCUAGAUGGACAGAAGGUCAAAGAGAGAAAUCUAUCUCAAGGCUAAAUUAGGUGGGAAGCUAGAAGCCCAUGACACAGAAUCCAAGAAGGAUAGAAGCCCCAAGACCAAAGGAAAUCCCAAGAUGAGAACGCUAAACCCCAGCUUUUUUCUAUUGCCAUCCUUCCUACUCUUGGACAUUUUCAGUUCUCCCUUGACAGUUCUUAUGUUUCCAUUUAAGCCCACUUUUUUGAGAUGUCCUUUUAGAUGUUGCCAUUACCUUAAGGAAACAUAUCUUUACAUUGGCAGUAUUAUGCUUGGUCCAGUCUUAAGCCAAUUUUUAUCACAGUUUUGGGCCAUUUAUUGUUUGUUUUUUAAAUUUCCAUUUGUCUUUGCCUCCAAUUCACAUGAGAGAGACAUAUAGGUAACAUUGUAUUUCAUUUGUCCCUUUUCUUUAGGAGCUAUAGGCUGAUGAGCAAAGGCAAGCAUCAGGCUGUUGUGGGAAAAAAGGUGCUAGGCUAUUUAGAGAAAAUGUGAAGAGAUGUUCCAGGCCAAUGAGAAGAAUUAGACAAGAAAUACCCAGGUGUGCCAGACUGUUGAAACACCAGCCAGAAACACCUUACUUCUUUGAGCUUGGGUGAGCAGGAUUCCUGGGGUUUGAGAUUCCCUAGUGAUGGUUAAAAAACAGAUGAUUGGUCCUGGGACAGAGUGAGGCCCCAAGGAGGCAGUUUGAACUCCCUGCUCAUAGUAGUGGCCUAGUAAUUUGGUAGACUGUGCCAGUACUGCUCCUGGGUUUAAUACCCACCUCAAGGUUUAAAGGUGAGAGAACUUGGGAAUAUUUACUUAGCAGGUUUAAUCCUUUCCUUGAUUUCCCCCCCUUACCAUGAGAGAAGAAAAUUUAAACAAUUGAGAAUAUAUGUGAAAGCAUUGUAAAGCAGAGAAAAAAGUGCAAGGCAUUCUCAUUAAUAGUAUAUCGGCAGCCAUGCACAGCUGACAUUUAAAGUGCACUGUCAGUUGUGAAGCAUUAUGUAAAUCAGGGGUCAUCACACCCUUUCUGUAAAGGGUCAGAUGGUAAAUAUUUUAGGUUUUGUGAGCCAUAUGGUCUCUGACACAUUUUUUUUAAAUUAACACUUUACAAAGAAAAACUACUGUUAGCAUGUGAACCAAGUAGAUUUGGUCUGUGGGCCAUACUAUCAUCCCUGAUAUACAUACCAGGGACUGUGUGCUGAAUAAUACUUGUGUGUGCCUGUCCCUGAGCUAGACACUUAAGGAUGCAAUAAUUAUGUACUAUUACCUCCAGGUGACCUGAAGAAAAAUAUGUGAAUGUGCUUUGUAAAUUGUAAAGCACUUAAAGAUUUAUGAGUUUCAGAGUUGAUGAAUGAAUAUUGACUACACAGUAUGUACAUUCUACUGUACAUUCUACUAGACACUGUGAAUACAAAGAUUAAAAGAAGCCUGAAUAAAGUACUUUGUCAGAAAUAUGUAAUACUAUGCAGAUAUUAGGAAUUGUUUGACAAAUGAAUAAUUCAUAUAUUUGUGGCCAUCAUGUUUCCGCUGCUCUGGUAAUUUUAAGUAAAAAUACAGUAUUCCAGGUAGCAGAAAAGCAAACACAUGGAAGCUGCUUUUAAAGCAUAAAAUAUACUGCAAACACAAGGGAUUAAGCUAUUGUGAAAACUUAUAACAUGUCACAUACCAUGCUAAGUGCUACAGAUGUCAAAGGGAAAAACAGUGUCCUCAUUAGGGAAUUAAAAAUGUCAGAUUAUGAGGUGCAUAUUAAAGUACUUUGUAAACUAAAGCACUGUAUAGAUACCAGUGUGUUAUAUGUUUAUGAAUAUUAUUUGCCUUUUAUGGGCCAGGUAUAUUUUGGGUACUCUGAAAUCUAAGAUAAUGCUUCCAAGUAAUAAGAGGGGGGCUUAUGUCCUAGACUAUUUAGAUGUAAAGAAUUGGAUAUUGCUUGUUUUAAUCAAUCAAGACUUUAAUGGUCAUGUCAAAUUAAAUUAUCACCAGUAUAUUUUACCAGGUAACAGGUAAAUGUAAUGAUUGAGAUUGCACUUGCACUUUCUAAAGUGCUAUAUAAAUAUAAGACAUUAGCUGUUUUCUGUGUGAAUAAAACUUUCUGUGAGAUAGG